rnacentral:rRNA from 1 species
CUACACGGGUUUCUAAUCCUGUUUGCUCCCCACGCUUUCGUGCAUGAGCGUCAGUGCAGGCCCAGGGGAUUGCCUUCGCCAUUGGUGUUCCUCCGCAUAUCUACGCAUUUCACUGCUACACGCGGAAUUCCAUCCCCCUCUGCCGCACUCCAGCUUUGCAGUCACAAGCGCCAUUCCCAGGUUGAGCCCGGGGAUUUCACGCCUGUCUUACAAAACCGCCUGCGCACGCUUUACGCCCAGUAAUUCCGAUUAACGCUUGCACCCUACGUAUUACCGCGGCUGCUGGCAC